GGACAUAUCAUAACGAAGAGGUAUCGUAAUUGAAGAGGUUUGGAAAGACCCACCACAGAAGGUAAUAGUCCUGUAUGUUAAACGAGAAGACUUCAGAUAUGAUCCAGAGUACCACGGGACACGUGAAACCCUGUGGGAAGCAGGAGGGACCACCCUCCAAGGCUAAAUACUACCUAGUGACCGAUAGCGUAUAGUACCGUGAGGGAAAGGUGAAAAGAACCCCGGGAGGGGAGUGAAAUAGAACCUGAAACCCUGCACUUACAAGCUGUGGAAGCACAUUUCUUGUGUGACCGCGUACUUUUUGUAGAACGGGCCAACGAGUUACGUUAAGUAG
rnacentral:rRNA from 1 species